rnacentral:ncRNA from 1 species
CCUGUCCGUCUUGUUCUGGGUGCCCUUCACAGGGUGAAACGGGAAACCGGUGCGUCGGUCGAUUGUUAUCGAGCCUGGCAACUCCGGUGCUGCCCCCGCAACGGUAAGCGAGAGAAGCGUCAGAUCCACUGUGCCGCCAGCGGCAUGGGAAGGCGACGCUUGCAGGUUCAAGCCAGGCUCGAACCCCUUGCAAGCCCGGAGACCGGCCCGGAAAUAUCGAAAACA